ACCCGCUGAACUUAAGCAUAUCAAUAAGCGGAGGAAAAGAAACUAACAAGGAUUCCCCUAGUAACGGCGAGUGAAGCGGGAAGAGCUCAAAUUUGAAAUCUGGCGGCAUCCUGUCGUCCGAGUUGUAAUCUAUAGAAGUGUUUUCCGCUCCGGACCAUGUACAAGUCCCUUGGAACAGGGCGUCAUAGAGGGUGAGAAUCCCGUCCUUGACAUGAUCUCCGGCUGCUAUGUGAUACACUUUCAACGAGUCGAGUUGUUUGGGAAUGCAGCUCAAAAUGGGUGGUGAAUUCCAUCUAAAGCUAAAUAUUGGCGAGAGACCGAUAGCGAACAAGUACCGUGAGGGAAAGAUGAAAAGCACUUUGGAAAGAGAGUUAAACAGUACGUGAAAUUGUUGAAAGGGAAACGAUUGAAGUCAGUCAUGCUCUUUGGGUUAAGCCGUUCGCGGUGUAUUCCAUUGAGUGGGGUCAACAUCAGUUUUGACCGCUGGAAAAAGGCACAGGGAAGGUAGCACUCUCGGGUGAACUUAUAGCCCUGCGUCAUAUACAGUGGUUGGGACUGAGGAACGCAGCAUGCCUUAUGGCCGGGAUUCGUCCACGUACAUGCUUAGGAUGUUGACAUAAUGGCUUUAAACGACCCGUCUUGAAACACGG
rnacentral:rRNA from 1 species